rnacentral:rRNA from 2 species
UACCUUGAGCUACGGGAUAACAGAGAGAAAUUUCUGCUAAUACCGUAUGUGGCCUUUGGGCGAAAGAUUUAUCGGCUUAAGAUGAGCCCGCGUUGGAUUAGCUGGUUGGUGGGGUAAAGGCCUACCAAGGCGACGAUCCAUAGCUGGUCUGAGAGGAUGAUCAGCCACACUGGGACUGAGACACGGCCCAGACUCCUACGGGAGGCAGCAGUGGGGAAUAUUGGACAAUGGGCGCAAGCCUGAUCCAGCCAUGCCGCGUGAGUGAAGAAGGCCUUAGGGUUGUAAAGCUCUUUCACCGGUGAAGAUAAUGACGGUAGCCGGAGAAGAAGCCCCGGCUAACUUCGUGCCAGCAGCCGCGGUAAUACGAAGGGGGCUAGCGUUGUUCGGAUUUACUGGGCGUAAAGCGCGCGUAGGCGGAUAGAUAAGUCAGAGGUGAAAUCCCGGGGCUCAACCCCGGAAUUGCCUUUGAUACUGUUUAUCUUGAGUGCAGAAGAGGUAAGUGGAAUUCCGAGUGUAGAGGUGAAAUUCGUAGAUAUUCGGAGGAACACCAGUGGCGAANGCGGCUUACUGGUCUGCAACUGACGCUGANGCGCGAANGCGUGGGGNGCAAACAGGA